rnacentral:tRNA from 1 species
GGCCUUAUAGCACAGCUGGUAGAGCAUGCGCUGUGCAAAAGCGUGGACUGCGUCCAUUGUGCGGGGUUCGAAUCCCACCGAGGCUA